rnacentral:tRNA from 1 species
GGCAAUUUGUCCGAGUGGUUAAGGAGUUUGACUUGAAUUAUCAAAUGCGGUUUCCGCGCGUAGGUUCGAGUCCUGCAAUUGUCG